CACGUAUGUGGCUAACAAGACCCGCGGCAGACGACAAGCUUCACUCCCGAGCGAGCGCACGAGGUGUUGGCUGUGCUUCAUAAACAAAUGACAAUUAGGCCUUUAGCCUAAUUAAUAAUUCAUUAUUCAGCUUGUGAAUUAUUUACCUAAAUUGAUGGCCUUCCUGCAUCCCUGGAUACAAACAACAAGCUCUCUUGCCUGGCAGCUCCAUCCUCAUCAUCCUUCUACCAACAUGCUCACUAUUUCUCCUCUGGACGUGUCCAAACCAUCCAAGUCUGCUCUCUCUAACUUUGUCUCCAAAAGAUCGAACCUCGGCUGUCCCUCUGAUGAGCUCUUUUCCAAUGGUAUCCAACCUGGUGACUCCGAGAGCAUCUAGAGCAUCAACAUUGUCAUGUGCUCUGCUUCCUGUUGUCUCUUCAGUGCCACCGCAGAUCACAAUGUCAUCUGCGAACAUCAUGGCCUGUAAUGGUGGUUUGAGAAAAAACUAAAAUAUUUUUACUUUGAAAGGUGUGACAAUGCAUGUCCAUCUACCACUUAGCUGCAUUAUUAUUUUUUUUAAAACUUUUUACACGGUUGCAAAGUGAUAUUCACAUCAAUACAAAGAGACUUGCAAUCAG